GAUCCUGGCUCAGGAUGAACGCUAGCUACAGGCUUAACACAUGCAAGUCGAGGGGCAGCAUGAACUUAGCUUGCUAAGUUUGAUGGCGACCGGCGCACGGGUGAGUAACACGUAUCCGAACCUUCCCGUUACUCUGGGAUAGCCUUUCGAAAGAAAGAUUAAUACCGGAUAGUAUCGAGAGAUUGCAUGAUAACCCGAUUAAAGAUUACAUCGGUAACGGAUGGGGAUGCGUUCCAUUAGA
rnacentral:rRNA from 1 species